rnacentral:lncRNA from 1 species
UAUAUAGAGCUAGACCGGUAUACUAUCGGUAGCACGGAAGCCUCCGUGCUACUAAAUUGUUUUCAAUGUUGCGGCUUCCAAAUUGACGAUCGGCUCCUUUAAACUAUUAAAAGUAUUUGGAAACUAAAUUUCAUAACUUUUCGGCAUCAUUUACCUAUCAAACGAGUAAUCUAAAAAUAAACGGCUGAAAAUAAAAAUCUCAUAAAAAAUGAUGAUAAAAGACUUGAAUUUAAGAUCAGAGGUAUUGAUCUUACUCUAAAUAGUGAAAAGAAUUUUCUAUAAAAAUUUCAUCAGAUUUGGAGUGUUUUACACCAUUAAAUUCACAAACGCAUCACAUCUACCAUUAAAAUUAUCAAUUUUGAGACAUUUUGAUCACUAACCAAAUAAUGCCGAAAAAUUAUGAAAUUUAGUUUCCAAAUACUUUUAAUAGUGUAGAUCAAGUCUAACAGAGCCAAUUGUCGAUUUGGAAGCAGCAUCAUUGAAAACAACUUGGUAGCACGGAGGCCUCCGUGCUACCGAUAGUAUACCAGCCUAGCUCUAUAUAUAUAUAUAUAGAGAGAGAGAGAGAGAGAGAGAGAUCAAAUUUUUAGUUUUUGGGUUAAUUUCUUUCAUCAUUUCUAACCAUUGAAUUAAAUAUUAUAACCCAAUAAGAACCACUCAAUCCUAAGGAACCACUCAACCCUAAGAAACCAAUAUCAUUCUAACCCUACAAUUUUUCAUUUAAGGAUUAAAAAUUUGAUAGCAAAAAAGAUCUUUUGCUAUUAGUAGUAUUCCAGUCUAGCGCUCUCUCUCUCUCUCUCUCUCUCUAUAUAUAUAUAUAUAUAUAUAUAUAUAAACUCUAAAUAAUUCAUCAAUUAAAACUCUA